UCUCCGUUGGUGAACCAGCGGAGGGAUCAUUAUAGAGUUUUUCAAACUCCCAACCCAUGUGAACUUACCAAUGUUGCCUCGGCAGAGGCUACCCGGUACCUACCCUGGAACGGCCUACCCUGUAGCGCCUUACCCUGGAACGGCUUACCCUGUAACGGCUGCCGGUGGACUACCAAACUCUUGUUAUUUUAUUGUAAUCUGAGCGUCUUAUUUUAAUAAGUCAAAACUUUCAACAACGGAUCUCUUGGUUCUGGCAUCGAUGAAGAACGCAGC
rnacentral:misc_RNA from 1 species